AUCUAUGGCAAUAUCAGUCUGAAAGUGCCUGAUCUUGUCAGAUCUUAGAAGCCAUCCAGACUCGGGCCUGGUUAGCACUUGAGACCUACUAGGAGCCUCAGGUGCUGUAACGG
rnacentral:rRNA from 1 species